GAUGAACGCUGGCGGCGUGCUUAACACAUGCAAGUCGAACGAAGCGCCUAAACGGAUUUCUUCGGAAUGAAGUUUUUGCGACUGAGUGGCGGACGGGUGAGUAACGCGUGGGUAACCUGCCUCAUACAGGGGGAUAAUAGUUAGAAAUGACUGCUAAUACCGCAUAAGCGCACAGUGCUGCAUGGCACAGUGUGAAAAACUCCGGUGGUAUGAGAUGGACCCGCGUCUGAUUAGCUGGUUGGUGGGGUAACGGCCCACCAAGGCGACGAUCAGUAGCCGGCCUGAGAGGGUGAACGGCCACAUUGGGACUGAGACACGGCCCAG
rnacentral:rRNA from 1 species